CAAGCCUGGCUCCGCAGAAGGGGAGCUGCUGCUGCUGCGGUGGCACUGCCUGAUGCUUGGCCCAGCGUGCCGGCGCCCAGCCGGGUGACAGUGGACUCCUGGGGCACAGCAGGAGCAGGUGACAGACCGCUGGCUGAAAGUGAGGGCAUCCACCCUUGCAGGCACACGUUCCAGGGAGCGGGGCACCCAAGCAGGGCCGUCAGACUGGGCUCUGGUGCCCAGACACCGUGCAGGCCGGGGAGAAGCACUAUCACCCUUCCUGCGCGCUAUGUGUCAGGUGCGGCCAGAUGUUUGCAGAAGGCGAAGAGAUGUAUCUUCAAGGUUCCUCCAUCUGGCACCCGGCGUGUCGACAAGCAGCCAGAACUGAAGACAGAAACAAGGUUGGUGGCAUGGACUGGUGUCUCUGAUGUACUCUUCACUGCUCCUGCACAAUCUUUGUACCGUUAAGAGGACACUGACCGGGUUCUACAGGCUCGUUGUCCAGUCCCACAGGCUGCAGGAUGGGGGCAGUGAGGCUUAG
rnacentral:lncRNA from 1 species